GGCGAGGUGGCUCAACUGGCUAGAGCGUCCGGUUCAUACCCGGGAGGUUGAGAGUUCGAGUCUCUCCCUCGCUACUA
rnacentral:tRNA from 7 species